UACGAAGGGGGCUAGCGUUGCUCGGAAUCACUGGGCGUAAAGGGUGCGUAGGCGGGUCUUUAAGUCAGGGGUGAAAUCCUGGAGCUCAACUCCAGAACUGCCUUUGAUACUGAGGAUCUUGAGUUCGGGAGAGGUGAGUGGAACUGCGAGUGUAGAGGUGAAAUUCGUAGAUAUUCGCAAGAACACCAGUGGCGAAGGCGGCUUACUGGUCCGGUUCUGACGCUGAGGAGCGAAAGCGUGGGGAGCGAACAGG
rnacentral:rRNA from 1 species